rnacentral:rRNA from 1 species
AUUGAACGCUGGCGGCAGGCCUAACACAUGCAAGUCGAACGAGUGGCGGACGGGUGAGUAAUGUCUGGGAAACUGCCUGAUGGAGGGGGAUAACUACUGGAAACGGUAGCUAAUACCGCAUACCAUCAGAUGUGCCCAGAUGGGAUUGGCUUGUUGGUGGGGUAACGGAUCACCAAGGCGACGCUCCCUAGCUGGUCUGGGAGGAUGACAAGCCACACUGGAACGGAGACACGGUCCAGAGUUCUCCGGUAGGCAGCAGUGGGGAAUAUGGCACAAUGGGGGCAAGCCUGAUGCAGCCAUGCAGCGUGUAUGAAGAAGGCCUUCGGGUUGUAAAGGACUUUCAGCGGGGAGGCGUUACCCGCAGAAGAAGCCACGGCUAACCCCGUGCCAGCAGCCGCGGUAAUAC